ACCCUACUCUUUUAGUCUUUUAUGGGCAUUACCUGUCUCAUCUAGAUAAUCACUAGUAGUAUUGAUGGUAAUACAUAAAAAAAACAGCUGAAUAGCAAACCUAAAGGACCUUGAGACCACUGGUCUGGGAACAGUAUGCUGGCUCCACCACUAAGGUGAAUAAAGGUUGUAUGGCCCUCACAAAAUACAAGAUCAAAGACAUUUCGGGGUUCUCCGACAACAGGAAUGCUCAUGCACAUUUUGGUAACAUUCAUGGUAAGGAUGAAGUGAAGGAGGUGAGAUGCAGAUGUGUUGUACGUUUCAUAUCACGUGCACACUCUGUGCUUGUACUGUUUGUGUGGUGAGUAAGAGGCCAGCACUCACACCGUAAUAAUGACUAGAGGCUACUGUACAACAUCCCCUGUACAGCACAAGUGCAUACAACCUCCAUUAUCCUUACUUAUACUUCACAAUACCCUCACCAAACCAACAACAAUAGUGUGCUUAAUUUUCAUGACGUCCCUUAAGGUGGCCAUGUGAGCCUCAAGGGAACUUCAAGACACACCUGUGCUCCCUUUAAGAUGCAGUUACUCCUGUUUAAGACUCUGCACAAACCCCAACAACCCAAAUACCAAUACAGGUCAACCCCCUGUGUGGGUGCAUAUGACUUCAGUGGAGCCUGAUGAAGUGAACAAAUUUAGAUUGUAAAAAAAGGAUCAUUCUAUCUACAUAACAGUAACGCUAGUAAAAAAAAAAAGAAA